GAGUUGUAGCUGGCCUUUCACGAGGCAUGUGCACGCUCCGCUCAUCCAUUCUACACCUGUGCACAUUCUGUAGGUCGGUUUGAAUGGUUUCUCUCUUGGGGAACUGUUUGGCCUUCCUAUGUUUUAUUAUAUAAACUCUAAGUUAAAGAAUGUAAUCUGCGUCUAACGCAUCUUAUACAACUUUCAGCAACGGAUCUCUUGGCUCUCGCAUCGAUGAAGAACGCAGCGAAAUGCGAUAAGUAAUGUGAAUUGCAGAAUUCAGUGAAUCAUCGAAUCUUUGAACGCACCUUGCGCUCCUUGGUAUUCCGAGGAGCAUGCCUGUUUGAGUGUCAUGGAAUUCUCAACUCUCUUACCUUUGCUGGUAAGCAGAGCUUGGAUUUGGAGGCUUCUGCUGGCUCUCACUGAGUCAGCUCCUCUUGAAUGCAUCAGCUUGGACCUUUGUGGAAUGGCUUUCGGUGUGAUAAUUGUCUACGCCGUUUGCUGUGAAGCUUAUACACUUCGGUGUGAGGGUCAGCUUCUAAUGGUCCCUUCAGUGGACAAAUCUUUGACCUCUGGCCUCAAAUCAGGUAGGAUUACCCGCUGAACUUAAGCAUAUCAAUAAGCGGAGGAAAAGAAACUAACAAGGAUUCCCCUAGUAACUGCGAGUGAAGCGGGAAAAGCUCAAAUUUAAAAUCUGGUGGUCUUUGGCCAUCCGAGUUGUAGUCUGGAGAAGUGCUUUCCGCGUUGGACCGUGUACAAGUCUCUUGGAACAGAGCGUCAUAGAGGGUGAGAAUCCCGUCUUUGACACGGACUACCAAUGCUUUGUGAUGCGCUCUCAAAGAGUCGAGUUGUUUGGGAAUGCAGCUCAAAAUGGGUGGUAAAUUCCAUCUAAAGCUAAAUAUUGGCGAGAGACCGAUAGCGAACAAGUACCGUGAGGGAAAGAUGAAAAGCACUUUGGAAAGAGAGUUAAACAGUACGUGAAAUUGCUGAAAGGGAAACGCUUGAAGUCAGUCGCGUUGGCCGGAACUCAGCCUUGCUUUUGCUAGGUGCACUUUCUGGUUGACGGGCCAGCAUCAAUUUUGAUUGUUGGAUAAAGGCUGGGGGAAUGUGGCACCUUCGGGUGUGUUAUAGCCCUCGGUCACAUACAACAGUUGGGAUUGAGGAUCUCAGCACGCCUUUAUGGCCGGGGCUCGCCCACGUUCGUGCUUAGGAUGCUGGCAUAAUGGCUUUAAUCGACCCGUCUUGAAACACGGACCAAGGAGUCUAACAUGCCUGCGAGUGUUUGGGUGGAAAACCCGAGCGCGUAAUGAAAGUGAAAGUUGGGAUCUCUGUCAUGGAGAGCACCGACGCCCGGACCUGACCUUCUGUGACGGCUCCGCGGUAGAGCAUGUAUGUUGGGACCCGAAAGAUGGUGAACUAUGCCUGAAUAGGGUGAAGCCAGAGGAAACUCUGGUGGAGGCUCGUAGCGAUUCUGACGUGCAAAUCGAUCGUCAAAUUUGGGUAUAGGGGCGAAAGACUAAUCGAACCAUCUAGUAGCUGGUUCCUGC
rnacentral:rRNA from 1 species